rnacentral:lncRNA from 1 species
GCACCCAGAGCUGGCUGACGGAAAGGCGCCAAAUCGAAAAAAAAACCUUCUCUAUCCCGGGAGGUAAUCCAUUGUUUUUGCGAUCCUUCAAUCUCAUCGGUCAUCCAUGUUUCCAUCUCGGCAGUCAUCAACGGCCAUCUCGACAGUCGGCGGGACUUUUCAAUAACUCGCACGAAUGAUGAAGAUGAAGAUUUAGGGUUCCCAAUUUUUUCCUCUAAUGGAUUCUAAGGGUUUUGUGUUCAAACGAUGACUGACAAUUACAACGUAAGGAGGAAGCGCAGAUGGUAGAAGGGAGCACAACACUUAUUCUUUACAUAGGAGGGUGACACCCCUUCAACUUUCGGAAGAGAAGAAAUUGAGGAACCACAAAAAGGUAAAGAAAUUUUACAAUGUCCAUAUAAUAUUUUGAAAUUCAUGCAUAUAGAGGGAUGUCAUAACAUUUUUUAUAAAAUUGAUGACACCGAUUCACAAAAUUAUGACUUCGUAGUACAAACUUAUAACAUCGUGCAUAGUUUCAAGAUAGGAAGUCUUAGAUUGUUCUAGUAGUCAUAGGAUAUCCUAGACUUAUGACACUAUGUUUUCUAUGAUUAUUACAUUUUUUCCCAAAAUUAUGAUACCCUAGUUCAAAAUUAUGACACUGCUUCACAAAAUUAUGAUACCACUUCACACAAUUAUGACACCGCUGCAUAGAUUUAAGCCGUAAUGCCUUAGAUUUAUUCUGGAUGUCAUAUGAGGGGUUAAUGCCUUUGAUUUUUUAUUUAGUGCCGGAGUAUCAUAAUUUUUAUAAAGGAGUGUCAUAUUUCUAUUUCCAUAUAUAUUUAUUAUUUUUUUCUUCAUGACGUAUCAUGAUAUCUAGGAGACAUAAUUCAAGCCACAGAUAAUAGGAAGUAUUGGUAGGAGGGGUUAAUGCCUUCGAUUUUUUGUUUAUUAUCGCAGUGUUAUAAUUUUUAUGAAAGGAUGUCAUAAUUUUUAAGAAGGGGUGUCAUAAUAUAUUUGUGCAUAUAUUCAUCAACUUUGUUCCUCCGAGGCUCAUAAUUCAGAUCACGGAUGACAGAAAGUAUUGAUAGGCGGGGUUAAUGUCUUUGGCUUUUUGUUUAUUGUCGGAGUGUCGUAAUUUUCAUGAAGAGAUGUCAUAAUUUUUAAGAAAAGAUAUCAUAAUUAUAUUUGCGCAUAUAUUCAUCAACGUUAUUCCUUCGAGACUCAUAAUUUAGGCUACGGAUGAUAGAAGGUAUUGGUAGAAGGGGUUAAUGUCUUCAAUUUUUUGUUUAGUGCCGGGGUGUCAUAAUUUUUUUGAAGAGCUGUCAUAAUUUUUAUGAAGAAGUGUCAUAAUUUUUAUAAAUUUUGGGUCAACUAAUUCUACCGACUUCUUAAAUAUGGCUUUCUAUCGUUUGUCCUCACUGAGAUUGGGCCGAUUCAGUUUUCCACUGGGUCGACUUAGCUUACGUGCUAUAGAUUUUAAGACAGUCUUUCUUCUCUAAUUUGAUUUCUAGAUUAGACUUGCCUUCUUAACCUAAUUUAAACCUCAUUAAAAUUUCUUGCAAGGUGUGUUUAGUCUGGAGUUUUUUAUGUAAUGUGAUAUUCUUUUUUUUCAUAUUGCAGGUAUUUUUUCAAUUAUUCCACAGUUUGUAAGUGUGAAGCCCUCACAACUCUUUAUGAAUACUUGCAAGCCGAUAGUUUAUAUUUAGAAUAUUUGGAACAUGGGUUUUUCAAAUGCUCAUGUAGAUAUAAUCCAGAAGACCUCAUUUGGUGCCUUCGUCGACAUGCAGCUAUUCGUAGUCAAAGGGCCACUUCUUGCAGAUAUAAUCAGAUGUCAUAAAUGAGGUGAUGAGUUCACUUUUUGUGGUAAAGUACUUAGAUUCAGUAUGGAGGAAAUGGUACUGAUCGUGGGUCUUCCAUGCCAUGGGAAGAAGAUCUCCAUUACAGGCCCAAAUAAAAAGGGAAGGUUAUUCCAAAGAUUUGGACUGAAAUUGGAUCUUCACCACAAGAGUUUGGAGAGGAAGACAUUAAGGACACUGUCAGACUUUGGAUUGCAUAUAUGCUCGAAAUAUUUUUGAUGCCAAAGUCAAAUCAGACAUGUCCAAGAUAUCUCAUCUCUUACUUGGAUAAUUUAUUUCAGUUGGGAACAAUUGACUGGGCUUCUGCAAUAAGAACUUGAUGCUUUUGAAUCUCUCAGAGAUUGCUGAUUGCUUGAGAUCUGGAAAGCCGGUCCAAGCAAAGAGGUGUGAUAAGGGUAAGAGACAGCUUACUCUAUUUGGCUGUUCGACAGCUCUAUUGGUAAAGAUAAUUUAUAUGCAGAAAUGAUGAUAACUAAUAAAUUAGAAUUCUUUCAUGAUUUUAUUGUAGAAAAUGCUAAUGUGCAGGUGUGGUUCCUUGAGCAUACCAUAGUGAGAGCUCCAACUAUCCAAAUAAACUACUUAGACUGUUGAAAUGGCAUGACAACCACUCAAAACCCUGGAACAUUCGAGUUGACAAUAUGCAGCCCCAUGAAUUGAAAAGAUGAGCCAUUAUGUCAUAAAUUUUUUAUAUUCCAUAAUUUAUCAUUAUAAUUGUUAAUUUAAUUUAUUUUCUUAUUUAUUUGCAUGUGGAGGGUGCUAUUCUCCCUAUGUUAUAGGAGCAGUGGCUUAUCAGUCCAAAAGAAGCAUCCCCAGAUCCAAAAAUAUGCUGUGCAACCUAUGCGCAGAUAAAGAUAGAACUUAAGGAGGUUAAGAAAAGGCUUGUCAUAGCUGAGAACCUCCUAAAUUUAUUGCUCAAACAAGGGGGCAUUGCAAAUAAAGAAGAGGACGAAGGGGAGGAGCGGGAUGAUGGAGAGGAGGUGAAGUCAUAUGGAGAGAGGAAUCGAUCAUGGAGAAAAAGAGGAAGGAUACCCCUGAGGAGGAUGAUAUAGAGGACAAACAACUAUUUUUGAUCCCUUCAAUCAUUAAGAGGGUGAAAAGACAACCUUAGUAGUGGAAGGCCUCAUAUCUAAAGAUGGAUUCUAGAUUUGAGACCGUUCCACUCACGAAAAAGUCCAAGACAGUCCUCCCAUCAUAGGCCACACAAGACAAUAAUUGUUUACAAUUUGAAGAGGAUAAAAAAUUGAUGAAAAUUUUUUUGAAGAAAAGCAUCAGCUCGUAAGUUUUUUAUGUUUCUUUUUGUUAUGUAUGAUAACCUGUCUUUGAAGAUAUUAUUUUAUAAUAUCCUUUAUAUUUUUUUAUUGCAGAGACGUCGUGUACAUCAAUGAAUAUAGAGGCAGUAUUACAAGGUCACAUGUUCACGAUCUUCUCAUUGAUCAAAUGAUAGUUGAUGAUAUAAGAAUUUGAGUAUACCUUUAUUUUUUUGUUAUUAUUGUUAUAUAC